GACAGAGGCCCCGAGCGUUAGGCGGAAUCACUGGGCUUAAAGCGUGUGUAGGCGGAUCUGUAAGUACCUUGUGAAAUCCCACGGCUCAACCGUGGAACUGCUGGGUAUACUGCGGAUCUUGAGCCACCUAGGGGCGAGCGGAACAAGUGGUGGAGCGGUGAAAUGCGUAGAUAUCACUUGGAACGCCAAUGGUGAAAACAGCUCGCUGGGGGUGUGCUGACGCUGAGACACGAAAGCCAGGGGAGCAAACGGG
rnacentral:rRNA from 1 species